CUACACUUCCAACUAAUGCAGUAGCAGGGUUUUAAUGGUUCAGCUAGUGUAGUAGCAGCUUCAGUAAGUGCAAUAGCAGAUUUUUAAUGGCUCAGCAGCAGCUAUUUUCAAUGCGUGUACUACAACCCACACUUUCCAACAAAUGUAGUAGAGGGUUUUAAUGGUUCAAUUAAUGUAGUAGCAGUUUCAGUAAGUGCAGUAGCAGGUUUUUAGCGGCUCAACAAAUGUAGCAGCAGCUAUUUUCAGUGCGUGUUGCAGUAGCAAUAACACGCACUUCCAACAAAUGUAGUAACAAAGUUUUAAUGGUUCAGCUAGUGUAGUAGCAGCUACAGUAAGUGCAGUAGCAGGUUUUUAGUGGCUCAGUAGUAGCAGCUAUUUUCAGUGUGUUGUAAUAGUAAGUUUUUAUUGGUUCGGCUAGUGUAGUAGCAGCUUCAGUAAAUGCAGUAUUGACAGAAAAAUUCAUUUAUGACUGCUACUAUUGAUAGGGAAAGUUCAUUUAUGAAUUAUUGAUAGGGAAAGUUCAUUUAUGAAUUAUGCUAUUGUUCGGUUCUACUACAUCACUCGUCUUGGUCUUUGCUACUGUAGAGCACUCAUACUCGAUUUGUUUUUUUACUACUACACUCGAUGUACUCUUGUUGUACUAUUUUUUACUAACGCACUGCUACUACCGACUGUUUAUAAAUGUGCUGCUACUACCAACUGUUCAUAAUCGUGUUGCUACUGCCGAUUACUACUACUCAUCUCGCUGCUAUUGUCGACUGCUACUACUUAUCCCGUUACUACUACUUCUCUAGCCAUGUCUUGGUUUAGCUGCUACUGCUCUUGCUGGAGUUAGCUGCUGCUGCACUUGCUGGAAAUUUAGCUGCUACUGCACUUGCUGGAAAUUUAGCUGCUACUGCACUUGCUGAAGAUAACCUAUGCUACUGUUGUCACUAAAUUCAUUCUGCAACUGUACUUACUGCACUCAUACUCAUUGAAUCUUGCUACUGCUUCUGCUACCUCAAAACCCUCAAGUGCUUCAACUCUAUUUUUUGAUAGAAACACAUCAGACAAACCCCAUACUCCUCUCUUACCCACCACCCACCAACAAGUCCAAAAGGCUCUAGCCCAUGACCUUAAUUAGGAGCACUAACCCAAGGCAUGCAUGGCCCAAUCUGCAUCCGUCUUCAUAGAUGGUGAAUCACAUCUUCUUCUUGGUGACCUCAUAAAGUCGAGCACUAUGAAUAGCCUAAACACGCGUGGUGCAGAUCAACGAGGAUCGAAAGCUCGUUCAAUUUCGUGGGCAAUACCCAAGAUUCGUAUAUCAAUUUGCAUCCAUCUUCAUAGACGGCUAUCCCAAUCUCAAUUUCGUUUAAUUUCUUGGGCAACAUCCAUGUGAUUCUGCAAAAACAACCCUCCCGAGUGCCAAGAACCCAAGAGGCAGGAGCUUUAUGAGCUACUAUCCCUAGGUUGACCUCGGCGCGUCCACUGCCUCAACCAAAAGCUCUUCGGCGGCGAACCCGACCUGCAAGACGCCGCCAUACGAGCACCCGAAGUCCACUGGAAAUUUCCAAUCUCCAAAGAUCUAGUUCUAAUUCGGAGGGUGCAAAGGUCUGGUUCAAGUCCGAGUGUGUCUGUCAGAGAUGGAGGUCCAUUUUGUUCAUAGAGAGAGAGAGAGAGAGAGAGAGAGAGAGAGAGAGAGAGAGAGAGAGAGAGAGAGAGAGAGAGUAG
rnacentral:lncRNA from 1 species